rnacentral:rRNA from 1 species
AAUCAACGCUGGCGGCGUGCCUCAGACAUGCAAGUCGAACGCUGCUGUUCGCCUUCGGGUGGACAGCGGAGUGGCGCACGGGUGAGUAACACGUAGGUAAUCUACCUUUGGGUGGGGAAUAACAGCCGGAAACGGCUGCUAAUACCGCAUAAUGCAGCGGCAUCACAUGAUGACAGUUGUUAAAGCGGGGAUCGUAAGACCUCGCGCCUGAAGAGGAGCCUGCGGCAGAUUAGGUAGUUGGUGAGGUAAUGGCUCACCAAGCCUGCGAUCUGUAACCGGCCUGAGAGGGCGGUCGGUCACACUGACACUGACAUACGGGUCAGACUCCUACGGGAGGCAGCAGUCGGGAAUUUUGGG